rnacentral:rRNA from 1 species
UACGUAGGGGGCUAGCGUUGUCCGGAAUCAUUGGGCGUAAAGCGCGUGUAGGCGGUUCGGUAAGUCUGCUGUGAAAGUCGGGGGGCUCAACCCUCGAAUGCCGGUGGAUACUGUCGGACCUAGAGUGCGGAAGAGGCGAGUGGAAUUCCGUGGUGUAGCGGUGAAAUGCGCAGAUAUCAGGAGGAACACCAAUUGCGAAGGCAGCUCGCUGGGACGUUACUGACGCUGAGACGCGAAAGCGUGGGGAGCAAACAGG